rnacentral:tRNA from 1 species
GGAGAGAUGCCCGAGAGGUCGAAGGGGGCACCCUGCUAAGGUGUUGUACCCCAAAAGGGUACCGCGGGUUCGAAUCCCGCUCUCUCCG